AGUUACUGCUAUCGGGGUUCGAUUAAGCCAUGCGAGUCAAAUGUUCUUCGUGAACAUGGCGAACUGCUCAGUAACACGUGGAUAAUCUACCCUUAGGUCUGGAAUAACCCCGGGAAACUGGGGAUAAUACCGGAUAGAUCAUAGAUGCUGGAAUGCCCUAUGUUCUAAAGCUCCGGCGCCUAAGGAUGAGUCUGCGGUCUAUCAGGUUGUAGUGGGUGUAACGUACCUACUAGCCGACGACGGAUACGGGUUGUGAGAGCAAGAGCCCGGAGAUGGAUUCUGAGACACGAAUCCAGGCCCUACGGGGUGCAGCAGGCGCGAACACUUUACAAUGCGGGAAACCGCGAUAAGGGAACCCCGAGUGCCAGCACCAAGUGUUGGCUGUCCAGAUGAUUAAAUCUCAUUUGUUAGCAAGGGCCGGGCAAGACCGGUGCCAGCCGCCGCGGUAACACCGGCGGCCCGAGUGGUAACCGUUUUUAUUGGGUCUAAAGGGUCCGUAGCCGGUCUGAUCCGUCUUUUGGGAAAUCUGGCAGCUUAACUGUCAGGCUUCUAAGAGAUACUGUCAGGCUUGGGACCGGGAGAGGUAAGGGGUACUCCAAGGGUAGGAGUGAAAUCUUGUAAUCCUUGGGGGACCAUCUGUGGCGAAGGCGCCUUACCAGAACGGGUCCGACGGUGAGGGACGAAAGCUAGGGGAGCAAACCGGAUUAGAUACCCGGGUAGUCCUAGCUGUAAACGAUGCUCGCUAGGUGUCAGGCACGGUGCGUCCGUGUUUGGUGCCGUAGGGAAGCCGAGAAGCGAGCCACCUGGGAAGUACGGUCGCAAGGCUGAAACUUAAAGGAAUUGGCGGGGGAGCACUACAACGGGUGGAGCCUGCGGUU
rnacentral:rRNA from 1 species